CCUGGUGCUGUGUUCUGAGCUGUUUUCCUCUGCCGUGCCCUUAUACCAGGAUGUUCUUCUGCACCUCUGGCCCAGAGCAAUAAUCUGCCAUCUGUGGAUGGAGACCUCUGAAACUUGGCACUAAGUACCCAGAAAAAUAGCAAAUCAAUGUCCAGCAUUGAAUUUAGACUUCACCUUCAAACAAAGCAAGAAGCGCCAUGCUGAAUUUGGGUGCACAGUCUGGCCUUGGGAACAAGAAAAGGACCAAGCUGCAACUUCAUUAAAUGGAGCACUGAGUCUCCCACAAGAAAAGGUCAACAUUUCCAUUUGGGCAUUCAAACAUCUCAAGACGGGUUUGAGGCCUCAGUGUUCUAUUGAUUCAACCAUCCCCACGCUGAGCACAGAACUUUGCACAGAAUAGAUGGGCGAUGUCAAUCAAAGCUCACCGUUGGGGUUAUUUAUUUUCAGCUUGACUCACAGGGCUAUCAAAUAUUGAAGUUGAAGGGGAAGAAAGGUAAUUCUACUUUAGUACAUGUGUGCAAAUAAAGCUUUCACAAUUGAUGCAUUCCUGAAACUGAAAUUCAUGAAGAACACUUUGAAUAAGAAAGUGUCUUUCUGCCUUCAUUUGGCCUGGGUUUACUAAAUACUCAUUGACCAUAAAACACAAAAAUAGGGGUCUUCAGAGGAGACACUGACUCUAAAACAAACUAUUGUAAUUAAGUGCCAAGUGACAUGGAAAUAUAAAGCACUGAUGAUCAAGAAAUAGGAGGAAUUUUCUUUGGAGUACAAAAGAAAUUGGUUGCUUUAACACAUGGAGAAAAUUAUGAUAUUUUCCUGAGAAACUGUAUACACGGGUCAAAAGUUUGCUAAAAUUAUAAUAUUAAUGAUAGCAAAAUUGAAAAUAAUUUUUUUAUUUCUUUGAA